AGUGAACGCUGGCGGCGUGCUUAACACAUGCAAGUCGAACGAGAACGGAUUAUAGCUUGCUAUAAUUGUCAGCUAAGUGGCGCACGGGUGAGUAAUGUAUAGGUAAUAUGCCUCUUACUAAGGGAUAACAAUUGGAAACGAUUGCUAAUACCUUAUAUUCCUUUUUAUCAAAAGAUAAAAAGGGAAAGAUUUAUUGGUAAGAGAUUAGCCUGUAUUGUAUCAGUUAGUUGGUGGGGUAAUGGCCUACCAAGACAAUGACGCAUAACUGGUUUGAGAGGAUGAUCAGUCACACUGGAACUGAGACACGGUCCAGACUCCUACGGGAGGCAGCAGUGGGGAAUAUUGCACAAUGGACGAAAGUCUGAUGCAGCAACGCCGCGUGGAGGAUGACACAUUUCGGUGCGUAAACUCCUUUUAUAUAAGAAGAUAAUGACGGUAUUAUAUGAAUAAGCACCGGCCAACUACGUGCCAGCAGCCGCAGUAAAAC
rnacentral:rRNA from 1 species